rnacentral:rRNA from 1 species
UACGUAGGUGGCAAGCGUUGUCCGGAUUUAUUGGGUUUAAAGGGUGCGUAGGCGGUCUUAUAAGUCAGUGGUGAAAUACGGCAGCUCAACUGUCGAGGUGCCAUUGAUACUGUAGGACUUGAGUACAGACGAGGUAGGCGGAAUUGACGGUGUAGCGGUGAAAUGCUUAGAUAUCGUCAAGAACACCGAUAGCGAAGGCAGCUUACUAGGCUGUAACUGACGCUGAGGCACGAAAGUGUGGGGAUCAAGCAGG